CUGAGCUUGAGGAGAGGGGAAGGCAGGGUGGGGAAGUUGUCAGAAAAGGCUGGCAGGAUGUGGGCUUCCCAGAGGUUGUGGCUGGAGCCUGUAGGCCCCCUCUCAUUGCUGAUACGACCCUCCACUCAGCCCCUUCUGGUCUGCAGUACGGGGGCUGGAAUGGCACCCGGGACCCCGGCGUCCUGUUCCUUUCCUGCUCACAGCCCAGGGGCCAUCCCUGGGCAGCUGUUGGUGGCAUCCCCUUGUCUUCCCCGAUUGUGCAGUGGGGACAGGAUGGCCAUUAUGGAGCAUAUGGGUUGUGUGCUGGGUUCCUGCAGCGAAGCGCUGUCACUUAUGGGAUCCUCAGUUCCUCCCUUCUCCCCGGGGUGACCGGAUUCCCCAAGUUUUCUGAAUAGUUCAGAAGCUGUCUCAGCUCAUGGCCCCUGACUUCUCAGCGUAGCUCUUUCUGGAAGUCUGACCACAUUUUCUGUUGGUAACAGCAGUGUCACAGACCAGGUUGAACAACAUGCGUACCCAACCUCAGAACACCAGAAUAUAUAAGCAAAUGUUGACAGCUCUGAAGGGAUAAACAGCAAUGGAACAAACAGAACAUAUCAAUAUUCCACUUUCAACACAGAAUAGAAUAUCUAAGUGGGAAAUCAAUAAAGAGUGGUAGAUUUGAACAAUAUUAUAAAUCAACUUUUCCUAACAGUUACACAGAGAGCAUUCUACCUGACAGCAGCAGAACAUGUGUUCUUCUCAACAGCUGUCAACAAUUCUCCAGGUGGGAUCAUCUGUUAUUUCAGAAAAUAUGUGUCAACAAUUUUUUAGAAAAUUGGAGUCAUAUCAUUGCUUUCAUAACUCCAAUGGAAUUAAAAUAGAAAUCAAUUCCAGAAAAAUGGGAAAAGUCGCACGUAUGUGGAUGUCAAUCCACACUGUGUCAAACAGCCAUUGGCUUGAAGAGGAAAUCAGAAAAUAUUUCAGUGGGUACAUUUUGAGUUUUGAGCUGGGAUCUAUAGCCACAAUCACAAUCCUCAAGUCCAGGCUUGGUACAAAGAGAAACCAGGUGGACAUGGAAGGUCACCAGCAGAAAAGCUCUCUGAACACUGAGAACCAUGGGGAUCUUUAAACAGAGCAGACAGAAGUCUUCUUACUGCCCACAACAAUUAAGGAGACAAGGAUGCUGAUGCUCAUGACCGAGUUCAAAGGCAGAUGCAAAUUCAUAUAUAUUUUAUGUACAAUAUAAACAUUUCAUAGUUGGCUGAGCUUUAUUUUAUAAAUGGACUGAUUGAACAUAACCUCCUUCAUUAACAUUUAGUAAAUAGUUCAGUUUGUUCAUUCAACAAAUGAUCUUCGCAUGUCAGGCACUAGACACUAUUCUAAGUAUUUGGGAUGGAGCAGCAAAAAGACACACAAUCAGGAAGGCUGCUUUUUAAUAGGUCACACACCAGAUAUGAGAAAAUGAAUGAAAACUCACACUGGUGCCGUAAUCAGUACUAUAAAAACAUAAGUAUGUACAGAGAAAGAACUGGGAUAUAAAGAAACUGCUUUGAGUACUCUGAACAAAUCAGUCCAUUUCUUUCUAAAGUGUAGUAUCCCCCAGAUGCUUGAUCCUGAAGGGAGAUAUUUUAUUUAUUUUGCUGAAAGGCAGAGUGAGAAGGGAGAUACACAUACAUAGGGGAGGAAUAAAGAGAGAGAGAGAGAUUUCCAUUCACUGGUUCCCUCCCCCAAAUGGCUUCAACAGUUGGGCCUGAGCCAGACUGAAGCCAGGAGUCAGGAACCUCAUCUGAGUAUUUCAUGUGGGUGGCAAGGAGUCAAGCCAUUAUCUGCUAAUUCCUAGGCACAGGUUAGGAGAUUGGAUCAGAAAGAACCCAGCAAGGAUUCAAGUUGGCACUCUGAUAGGAGAUACAGGCAUCAUAAGUGAUAGUUUAAUGUGCUGUACCACAAGGCCAGUCCCAGCAAGUGAGUUUUAUGUUCAUGUUCUUGCUGAUUACUUCCUAUUCCAUAUUUGCACUGUGAACUAAACUGCAGUGGAAGGUGAAGAAAGAACGGCAAAGGAAGACCUUUCUCUCUCUCUCUCUCUCACUGUCCACUCUGCCUGUCAAAAAACAAAAAUAAAAAAAGAAUACCUUUAGAUAUUUCCUUUCUUUCUUUCUUUCUUUCUCUCUCUCUCUCUCUCUCUCUCUCUCUCUCUUUUUUUACAGGCAGAUUUAGUGAGAGACAGAGACAGAGAGAAUGUCUUCCUUCUGUUGGUUCACCCCCCAAAUGGCCGCCAUGGCCGGUGUGCUGCGCUGAUCCGAAGCCAGGAGCCAGGUGCCUCCUCCUGGUCUCCCAUGUGGGUGCAGGGCCCAAGCACUUGGGCCAUCCUCCACUGCACUCCCAGGCCACAGCAGAGAGCUGGACUGGAAGAGGUGCAACCGGGACAGAACCAGUGCCCCAACCAGGACUAGAACCCGGAGUACCAGUGCCGCAGGCCUAGUGAGCCGUGGAGCCAGCAAAUAUUUUCUAAUCAUUAAAAACCAAAAUGAAAAACCUAAAAGACAAUUAAGCCAACAACAUGAAGAGGAUGAAAAGCUCCGCAUUCAGUAAAUUGUGAGUGAAUUGCAUCCCUUGUGAAGGAGGUUAUUGGAAGCUCCAGGUCCUAAGAUCCCAGCGGGAUCACAGACAGUGGAGGGAGGGUCUCCAAUCUUGUGUGGUUGGGUCAGCAGGAAGGUGACAGCAGCCCUGGCUCUUAGGAUAGCUAGGCCCCCAUGAGCACCACCAGACCUGAGCCCAAGACUUAACCCUCACUUCCCCCACCAGCCACAGGGUGGUUGAACUGCACCCCUCCCCCCAAUCCAUUGGGGAAAGCUGGUAGGUGUGACUGAUUGGCUGCAUCAUCUGAUGUGCUGCCUGCUCACUGGCUCAGCAAGCUGUCCAAUCAGACACAUGGGAGCAAUAAUAAAGAGCGACAUGAGGUCUUUUUCUGUAUGCUGCUAAACAGCUUCUCUAGUCUGCUGCUCAUGGAGAUGCCAGAUGCUCAGUCCUUGCCUCUCUGUGCACUUCUCUCAGUACAAGAGCCCUCAGAAGGAUGCCUGGGCAGCUCAGAAUCUGGAAUGAGGUGAGUGUGUGGGGGCCAGGUGCCUCCCUCUUGCAGGAUGGAAGCUGGCAUGGGACCCUGGAUAUCUUGUUUCAUUCCUGAAUGUGGUGACUUUGGCUCAGCCCUAGAGCUCUGUAUUUUUCCAAAUUGUGUGGUUAGGAUUCGUGGGUCCUCAGGGAGAAUCCAGACUUCAUACAUGGAAUUUGGGGGGAGGAGCUGUGAGUUUUGGGAUCCCUGUCCCUUCUUUCUCCUCCUGGAUCACAGAAUUCCCCUCAGCUAGAAAGCAGGUCACCAAGUCCACAACCCAGUCCUCUUAGCACAGCUCUUCCUAGGGGGGUGAGGCUGUCUCCCUGCAUCAGCUCUCAGCUGUGGCUGCUGGUUAUGAGCAGACCCUGGGCAGGGAUUUCAGAGGCAGCCCAAGCAGAGGCCAAGCAUCCUUUCUGGGGGACUCUCCCUUUUCUCCCUGCCUUGGCAUCAGCUCCCUGUGAAUAUCUGUUGACACAAAGAAAUGGGGUUUGCUGGGGAGUUGAGGCUCCAAGACUGCUUAGAUCAAACAUGAUACCCACUGGAAAUCCUCUUUAUCUGACAUUUAGGUUUCAUGCCACUUGGACCUGGCUUAGGUCAUUUGUUCCAGUACCAACUGGUGGUAGAUUUUUUUAAAAGAUUUUUAUUUAUGCAUUUGAGAGGUAGAGUUAUAGACAGAGAGAGGGAGAGACAAAGAGAAAGGUCUUACAUCCACUGGUUCACUUCUCAAAUGGUUGCAACAGCCAGAGAUGGGCUGAUCUGAAGCCAGGAGCUUCUUCCAGGUCUCCCACAUGGGCACAGAGGCCAAGUACUUGGUCCAUCUUCUAAUGUUUUCUCAGGCCAUAGCAGAGAGCUGCAUCAGAAGAGGAGCAGCCGGGAACAGAACUGGCACCUGUAUGGGACACCAGCUCUAAGAUGGGAGGUCGGCACCUCAGGCAGAGGCUUUAGCCUAGUACACCACAGCACCGGCCCUGGGGAGAUGAUAUUCUAAGACUCUUUGAUCAGUCCCUCCACAAGGGAAAUUUUGUUUGGAAGAGUCAUUGUGUGAAAAUUUGUUUAUCUUGGUUAAAAUACAGGUAAUUAGAUGUUAAUUCCAUCCAAAUCCCUCUGAGCUGAUAAGGACAGGCAAUAUUUCUGGCCUCAUAACUAAGAAACAUUGUGAUAAUGCAUGGAUUUGUUUGCAUUGCAUUCUAAAGAAUGAGGAGGCCCUUGAGGUCCCGUUGGUCCUUUAAAGCCAGUUGUGACUCCCACAGAAGCCCCUGGUGCAAUUGACAGCAGGGAACAAGAAUCAGAAAAAUAAUGCACUACAAAAUAUUUCUUUAUUAAGGUGCUAACUGAAUCUGAACUGAAGACACGAUUUUCUUUUCAUGUGUAGGUGUUCAACUCUUUUACUGGGACUAGAGUUAUUUUCCAAACUAAAUGCUUAUGUUAAGAUUUUAUUCCUGCCAGUCCUAAUUGAGAAAAAAAUUAUGGUUAAUUAAAUUAUUGAAAGGAAGAAUUCUGUGAUGUCGAUAAUUUUCAAAAGGAGUUAAAUAUUUUAAAAAGGGGCGAUGAAGUAGGCAGGCAUACAGGCUAAAAUUGAUUUGUGAACUGGAAGACCAUGCCUUCGCCACACCCCUGUGUGAUGUCAUGCCUCUACCUGAUACCUUCACCACGCCCCUGUGUGACCUCAUCCCCCUAGCUGGCCACACCUGGGUGCCAACCAGCCAAUCAGGUUAAUUAACCACUCCCCUUUGGAAGUGGGUUAAAAGCCUGGGACACAGUGUGUCUGGGCCUUCUUUUCUUGCCUGGCCUCCUGCCAGGAGGGGCUUCCCAUAGCCCUGUGCCUCCAGGACGUGUGCCCUCAGGCCAUGUGCUCUAGGCUUCCUGGCCUAGAUGCUCCUCCAUGUGGCUGGUUCCUGGUGCUCAGUAUGAACCUACAUUUACCUAACUCUCAGCCUCUGCUUUGCUGCCAGUGGUAAGCAGUGAAUAGCAGCUCAAGGUGCUUGCUGCACGUGGCUUUUGUCUGCUCCCUGCUUGGUAUGGAUGCUACCCUGGUUUCUAGACUUUCCUCCCUCUCCUACCAGAACUAAACCCUCACUUUCCUAGACACCUCUCGCACUAAAUAAAAACCUAAAGCGUACCAUGCUGCUUCGUUAAUCUGUGCCGGUAUUUAGAAUUCUCUAAAUAUUAGGCAAGAACCCUCUCGGGCUUUUAAUAUUGGGGAUUAAUAAGCUCAUGGUGAAAUCAUAUUGCACCCCAAAUUCUGGUAACACAUGUGGCACCCAGAUAGCACUUCUGGGGAACUUAAGGGCCACAUUUCAGUGUGGAAUUUAGGGGGUUGUGUCUGAUUUCAAAAUGACAUUAUUCCUUCUCAUAUAUGCUAUAUAUAUAUGUGUGUGUGUGUGUGUGUAUUUGUGUAUGUUGUAUAUUGUUGUAUAUUAUGUCUGAAUGGUAAAAAAUUCCUUAAGAGCUCUGUUUUAACUGACAUAGGCAAAUGAGUGUUCACAUAAAUUAAAACUAAUUAACUCAAAUAUCUUUUUUUUUUUUUUUUUGAGAGGAAGAGUUAAAGACAGAGAAAGCUCUUCCUUUUUCUGUUGGUUCACCCCCCAAUGGCGCUGCGGCCAGCGCUGGGCAGAUCUGGAGCCAGGAGCCAGGUGCUUCCUCUUGGUCUCCCAUGCGGGUGCAGGGCCCAAGCACUUCCCGGGGCCACAGCAGAGAGCUGGCCCAGAAGAGGAGCAUCUGGGACAGAAUCCGGUACUCCGACCGGGACUACAACCCAGGGUGCCGGCCCCGCAGGGGGAGGAUUAGCCUAGUGAGCCGUGGCACCGGCCUCAAAUAUCUUUUGAUUCAUGUGACCUAAGUAAGUAUCUGAUAGGUUGUUUUAACUUUGUUGAUAGAUACAAAUUAAAAUAUUUUCAGGGUUAUUGACAUGUUUUGUGCCUGGGUUUGCUGGUCAAGCAAAAGUUAUACUUACUUUUUUGGAUACUCAAAGUCAUAAAAGUUCGAUUUUGACAAGAAAAAAAUGAUGCAGGUUAGUGGUAUAACGGAAUGUUCAUUAAUUCCUGUUUGAAGUAAAAUUUAACUCCUCGAGUUGUUCUUUGGCAAAACAUGACUCAAGAUUAUAACCAUACUAGUCUAAUAUUUUAGUUUCUUUAAAAAUUGUUAAUAAUAAGUGGGUAAACAUAAAAAAUGUUUUCAAACUUUUGUACUGUUGGUCUUGUAAACGUUGUAAAAGACAAUGGACUUUUGGAUUUGACUACUUUAAAAUAAUUUGAAAUUUUAUGUUUCAUUAAAAUGCUUUGUUCUUAUUUUAGAGGCUUUUUAGGAUCAUUUUAAAUUGCAAAUUAAGGAACCAAUAGAUAGGGAAGAGAAAAAUGUUAAGGAAGCUAUAAAUUCGAGAAUGAGAAUGUGUCUUGUACUCAAGAUGUGUUUUGAAUAACAAAGAAAGCAAAUGAUCUUUGUCUUACCUGAAAUAAAACUGGUGUUUGGCAAGGAGAGAGAGGAACAAAACAGAAUAAAUAACUUAGGUAAUAUAAAAAUGUUACAGAAGAUUUGUAGCAGAUAAUUUUGUGUGAGAUUACUUUGGCUGAGAUUAGAAGGAAAUUAAUUCUAUGAGUUUCUCAAAAUUGAGCAUUGUUAAUUGUUAGGAAAAGAGUUGCAGAUUUUUGCUUCCCCAUUUGGGGCACCAAAAUGUUAGGGAAAGAGGUGCAGAAUAGAGAGGGGGCAGUGUACAAAUUUACAGCCAGACUGCAUUUUUUUCAGAGAAAAUAAGUCUGUAGAGGUGGGUGAUCAACUGCCCACAUGCACAUUAGUGGAUCACAGGGCAGAAGGCCCCAACCCCAGGGGCUGGGCCUUUUUAUAUUUUGGGUAGGGGCCAGCAGGCAGAGGGGAAUUCCUGGAACUGGUCUUUCAGGUGUUAAGAACAAGUGGUCUUUCAGGUGGCUGUAAGGGGUGGGGUAUGAAUGCAAUAGGGUGUGAAAUCCAGUUGAGUUUCAAGGGCAAGGAAUACAUUCCAAGGACUACAUUCCAGUGUUUACCUAUUUUGGGCAAUGAGGGAGAAUGGCUGAGGCUUAUGUCAUUGUUCCAUCAAUCCUGACUCUGAGUAUAGAUGAGGAGAGGGGUGCCGAUUUCUCUCUGGCUACUUCCUGCUGAUAGGGGGCUUAGACAUGGAGCCAGGACUUGAGCAGUGACCUAUAUUUGGGAUAGGAUUGAUUGAAGAGGAAGAGCAGCCUUGCGUUGUGCCUGUGAGUUGGCUUGAGAUAUAGCAGUUAUUUGUUUCUGCAAGAACCUUUGGAAUGGGUUAAUUAUGCAUGGCAGAAAUAGGAGCACUAUGAUUAUGAGGGCAAAAGGAGACACUAGAGCCAUGGCCCAUGGUGGAAACAACGGCCAAAAUGAGACAGAGUUACCUUGUAAAUGCAUCGUGUUAGCGUGUCGACCUGAGAGGUGGGUCCUGUUGGGGUGGACUUAUAUGAGGGAGAUGUAACUAGUUUUAAUGAAGUAAAAUGCACCCAGGGAGGGUGCCCUUUGAGUUUGGCUGUGGUGGAGGUAGUCAAUAUCACCUGGUAGGGCCCGCUCCACUUUGGUUUAGAGCAGCCUCAUUUUGUUUUAGAUAAACCCAGUCACCAGGUGGAAAGGUAGGGAUAUAGUCGGGAGGCAGAGAGUGUGGUUUGGGUAGGUGUGUGUCUGCAUACAUCCAUAAGUCAUCGCACAUUUCAGUAAGAAGAGAGGAGGAGGAAUAGCUUCAGAGCUCUGUAGGGGAGGGAAGCUAGGUGAAAGAGGCCUUCCAUAGGGAAUUUCAGAUGGGCUAAGCAUUAAGGGCUUCUGGGGAAGAGAUCCGAUUCUUAACAGAGCUAAAGGAAGGAGUUUUACCAAGUCCAAGUAAACCUGGGUGGAGAGUUUAGUUAGAGCCUGUUCUAAAAUUCCAUUCAUCCAUUCUACUUUUUCCUGAGGAGGGGGGACGAUAGGGGAUGUGAAAAUGCCAUGAGCUAUGAAGAGAGGCAGAUACUAUUUGAGUUAUUUUAGAGAUAAACUCUGGUCCAUUGUCUGACUGAUGGAAGCAGGCAAUCCAAAUCUUGGGUUAAUAUCAUUUAAUAUAGUGGAAAUGGUGGAAGCUCUUUUGUUAGUAGUGGGGGAAGCUUCCACCCACUCCAGGAAGGUGUCCUCCAUCACCAGAAGGUACCAUGUUUGCUUAACUGGUGGCAUAUGGGUGAAGUCAAUCUGCCAGUCCUCUCCUGGGAGUGAUCCAUGGGCCUGGUGAGUGGGGAAUGGGGUGGCCUGAUAUUAGAAUUGGGGUUAGCAGUUUGACAGGGGCUACAAGUCUGAGAUAUGUUAUGCAGAGUUUCUCUUAUGGCAGGAGUUAGGUGUAUAUGUGAUCUCAGGAAGUGAAGAAGAGAGUUUGAGUUUGAGUGAUAGAGAGAAUGGAGGUUCUUUAGAAAGGUAACUUGGAGAGAAGAAGGGAGUAUUAGUUUUUCAUCUAGAAACCACCAUGAGUCCUUUCUAGAUGCCCCUUGUUGUUGGAACUGAGAGAUUUCUAGGUCUGAAUACACAGGAGCUAAGUUACAGAGAAAAGAUGGGAUCCUCUCCCCAGGAGCCACUGUGUUAGCUGUCAGAUCAGCCUUGUUAUUAGCUUCAGAUAGGGAUUGUUUACCUUUCUGGUGUCCUUUCCAGUGAAUAGCAGCAGCUUUUGUUGGCAGCUGGGCAGCCUCAAGUAGAGCUUUAAUCAACUUGCCAUUUAUUAUAGGGGUCUCUCGGGCUUGCCGUAUCUGGGCAUUGGAAUGCAAAAUGUUAUAGGCAUAUCGGGAAUCUGUAUAUAUAUUGACUGUCUUUCCUUUGGCUAAGGUGAAGGCUUGAACCAAGGCUAAUAACUUGGCCUGUUGGGAGGUAGUGCCUUGAGGUAGGGGCCCAGCCUCUAUGGUCCUUUGCAGGGAGAGGAGGAGGUGACAUCAUGAUGCCCCUCAAUUAUUUCAUAUCCAGUGGGAAAAGGGGGAGCUUUAGAAGCACUACCAUUAAUGAUCCAAUGCAGGGCUUUGGGAAUAGGAGUGUCUGAGGUGAUGAAGGUCUGAGGUGAUGAGGUCAGGAAAAAUCAAGGAAGUCAGGACAGGAAUGGGGUUCGAGGGGAUGAGAGAAGUGGGGAGGAGAGUAGCUGGGUUGAGAGAAGAGCAGGGAUGAAAAGUAACAGUGGGCUGGAGAAGGGUAGAGUGAAGAACAGGUUAAGUGGGUUAGGAAGGCUCAAGGCGGGUGCUUGUAGAAGAGCCUUGUUUAGGAUUUGAAACGGGGUCUCUAGGGAGGAAGUCUCUUGCAAGGGCUCAUCUAGAUUGCCUUUGGUAGCAUUUAUGAAAGUUCAAUGAAAUAGAACUAUGGAUUUUUCACUAUGCAAAAGCAAUAAGGUUAUUCAAAACAUAUAUAUGUUAGGUAGGAAGUCAGGAAUUUAGCCUAUGUGUUUGUGAGGCAGGCCUGAAGAGCAGCACCUACUGUGAAAGCUCUGGAAGCCCAGCAACUUGCACUUCAAAGUCCUGCGCAGACCCCAGACCCCGAUAACCUCCCAGGGGGUCCCAGCCCUUCCCCUCCCCACCCCCCCAAGGAAAGCUCCCAGGGGAAUUCUCUCUGCUCAGGACCAAAUGGGUUACUUGGUUACAUGGGGCAAUAAAACCUCCUCAGAUGCCCUAAGGGAAGCCCCCCUAGUCUGCCAGCAAAUCUGGGGAGGAAUUUGCUAAUUUUCACCCAACAAACCCUUCCACCUGGACUCUCCAUCCUUUGUCCUGGAGGAGAGGGGGAGGAGGGUAAACAGACUCCCUUAAAAACCUAGGGAGUCUAAGCAGACUGCUUGCUCUGCCCUCUGCCUCUCUGCUGAGCCACCUGCCCAGGUGUAUUUCCACUCAACCAUGUAACCUCACUCUCCCCAGUCUGAGCGAGUGGGUGCUCUUUCUGUCCCUUCCGUCCUGACAGAUGCCCUAUCCCCAACAAAGCCUUAGCACUCUGCCCUCUGUCUCACACCUGAAUUCUUUCUUGUGUGAAGACAGAACCCCACAGCUUCCAUGGCCUUCCCUCUGGUAACAUACAUAUUUGUAAUAAUCUUGCUGUUUCAUUUUGAAAUCUAUUUUAAUGCAGUUUCUCCUUUUAGUAGUUUCUACUUAAUUGGUCAUUUUCUUUGUCAAAUUUCUAGGCAUCUCCUGUAAGUUAUUUCUUCCUCCUUGGUUCUGACUCUUGUGACCUAACAUUAAAACUGUUUGUCUUAGAAGCCUAAGGUCAUAGGAUACUUGAUUCUUCUGUCUUUUCUUAAUGUGUUUAAUUUUUUUCAUGUAAUCAGACAAUUCCUUCAGCUUUUGUUUCUAAGGGUAUUCUUCUAUUCAAGGUUUUCAUGGGGCAGGCGUCAUGGCUCACUUGGCUAAUCCUCCACCUGCCGGCAUCCCAUAUGGGUGCUGGGUUCUAGUCCAGGUUGCUCCUCUUCCAGUCCAGCUCUCUGCUGUGGACCAGGAAGGCAAUAAUAUUUUUAGACAGGAAGAUAGAAAUUAGCCUAUGUGUGUGAAAGCAGUCAUGGGAAACAAAACAUGUGCUCUGCAGAAGGAAUGCAGCAGCCUUAGAAGCAGGCCUAGGAAAGCAGCCCAGUACUUUACACUACAAAACCCUGCCCCUCCAAUAAAGGCACACCAGGAGAAACCUGUUUGCUUGGUGCAAAGGAGGUUAUUGAGUCUGAUAACAUUACCUAAUUUUGCACCUGGGAAAUAUUUUGUCCAUGAGUGGGGUGUGUGUGUGUGUGUGUGUGUAGAAACAGUGAGAAGUAGACACCCAGACACCCAACCCUUAGAAAUCCCAGUGAUUAUUAAGUCUUCUACUCACAGUCAACUUCAUAGGGGCAUCUGUGGAAAUUUACAGUAGGUUUUUAAAAGAGCAGGGGAGCCCCAGGUCUCUGUUCUACCAUUAGGCUGAGGCAGAGCUGAAGGACACAGGUGCUGACCACCAGGAGGAAUCGGAGAACUUAAGCCUUGUCAUCGAUCUAGCGACAAGCCAUGACAUCUGAAACCAGAGACCGUCAACUCUUUCAUGACUUCACCACACCAAAGCCUCAUCUUUGGUGAAUUGAAGCGGCGAGCAUCAAGAGCUGGAUUAUUCGCUCAAUAACCACAUUGGUGAGCGAACCAGAAGUCGGGUGUAUUCUUCAAGUGGCCUGACCCUCUCACACUGAUGCCUCUGAUGAAAUUGACUGUGAGGAACAAGAAUUAAUGCAAUAAAAGGUGUUUUUCAAGCAGAAUGCCAACUGAACCUGAAAUGAAGAUAUAAUUAUCUUUAUAUAUGUUAGUGUCCAGUACCAUCACAGGGACUAGAGUUGCUUUCCAAAUUAAAUGCUCAAUUUUUCAGGCAAUCUAAGUAUAAAUGCUCAAAAUGAAUUGGUGGUCUUUGCUUUCUCUGCACUUUGCUGUGGCACCUUGUGCAUCAUCAUGUCCUUGCAACCUAAGGGUGUCUCCCUCUCCUCAUCUGCCUGAGAAAUGGACUCAAGUAUGCAGUGACUGGAGAGGAGGUAAAGAACUGUAUGCAGUGCUUGAUCAGAAUCAGCAACCAGGUUCAAACUGAUGUUGCAUACCUUGCUGCAUUCAUAGAUGCAUGUGAGAUGGAGCAAACAUUGACUAGCAUCGAGAAGACAGGUGAGCAUUUCUGCCUCAUCCUUGACACCAAGGGGCCAUUUUGCUGAUCACUACAUCACAGCAGAAGGCAUGUGGUGGCAGACAUGAGCAGGAGGUGGUAUACAAACUGAACUACAAGCUGUGCAAGGUGAGGAGGAUGACUGGGUACAAAGGGAAUCCCACCCCUGAUGGCUCAUGAUGCUUGUGCCAUGCGCAACCCAGAUCCUCUCAUCAAGGUGAUCAUGGGAUGGAUUACUGAUUUGGGGCUCCU